rnacentral:rRNA from 1 species
CAGCUGAUGCAGCCAUGCCGCGUGUGUGAAGAAGGCCUUCGGGUUGUAAAGCACUUUUGUCCGGGAGGAAGGGUCUCUAGUUAAUACCUGGUGGCGAUGACGGUACCCGCAGAAUAAGCACCGGCUAACUCCGUGCCAGCAGCCGCGGUAAUACGGAGGGUGCAAGCGUUAAUCGGAAUUACUGGGCGUAAAGCGUGCGCAGGCGGUUUGUUAAGACCGAUGUGAAAUCCCCGAGCUCAACUUGGGAACUGCAUUGGAGACUGGCAAGCUAGAGUCUUGUAGAGGGGGGUAGAAUUCCACGUGUAGCGGUGAAAUGCGUAGAGAUCUGGAGGAAUACCGGUGGCGAAGGCGGCCCCCUGGACCAACACUGACGCUCAUGUGCGAAAGCGUGGGGAGCAAACAGGAUUAGAUACC